GGCCACGGGGUGGACCCCGCCCCCUCCCCCGCAGUUGAAAGAGCCUAGCUGAGAGCGCAUGAAGGGGAAGGUUGUGGUUGUUGUUAUAGUUAAUACGGGGGAAGUGGUUGCUUGUUUUGCAUCUAGAAGGGCACUGUUUCUGUUUGUUAAAUUUGAGGGACUGGGGUUUUUAUGUUUGCCUCUUUUCUGAGAGAGGCUUAAAAUAGGUGGUGUGUUAAGGGGCUUGGAAAGACAUGUGAUUGUGUUUUGGCAAGCCCAGUUUGCAGGAGUUGUAGUUCCUAUAUCUUCAAAGCUGUGUGGACCGUGUGUUUGCCUGCUGUUGCCAGGGCAUGGACAGAGGAAAGAUCUUGGAGCAUCCAAAGAGGAACGGGAACUUGCAGUGGAUCUGCUUGGAGGACAGUGACUGUUUCUGUAUGGCUGCAUGACCUGUGUGACUGACUGUAUCAGCUCUGUUUGAAGAAACAACACCCAAGAAGAAACCUAUUUUUCUGCAGUAAACCCAGAUGAAGAAAAAAAAUAGCUGGGACACCUUUUAGAAGCUUCGAAACCAGACGGCAAAUAAAGGUGUUUUGGAAUUGCUUGAUUCAUUAAGCCCCUUUCAAGGAUACUUGUGGGAGCUGACUUCUUUCCAUGCUUUGAUGUGGUCAGUACUACAAAAGCAACCAGGUUUUCAUGGAUAAUGGAGAAGAUGUGUGCAUCUAUGACCCUCUGAAAACAGGUUGGUCUUCCCUUCGUAAUUAACAGUAGUUGGGACACAAGUUCUGCCAGCACCUGGUAUCGUAGCUACAUUUGCCAAGAAAACCAUCUUCAUUGGUGUGCAGUGAUGCUUUUAACAUUGGUCUCUUGGCUCACAAUUUUGUGUGAGCUACAGCUCAUGAUAAUGCUUGCCAGUUCUUCCUUGUUCUUCAGCGUGGUGGCCUUUCCUUGAGCUAAGCUUCCCGCAAGAGAAUGGUAACCAUCUUGCCUGCCUCUAAGGGUUUGGGAACAUUGGUUGUCAGUCCUACUUGAAUGAUGGCCCUGAGCAGAGAUGUCCAGAACCUCAAUCGGGGCCCGUCUGAGAAGUGAGCCAACUCGUAAAGUAAACACAGGUUUUCAAGGCAAGUAUGAAAGCAUGAUAUAGUUUAGCUACUAUGAGCCCCUUGGGAGCCAGACUCCUGGAAAUACAAUUUGGUGGCUGUCAAUUUAGCCAUUUCUCAGGACUGAAGGGUUUGUUUUGUUUUUUUUUUUUUUUUUGUCCUCACAACAACUCCACCUUCAGUACAGGCAACCUGCUAAGGAAGUGGUCUCUUUGUAAGCAAUGUGCUACUCUGAUAGAUUGUCGGGUCUGUUGUCUUCAGUGCUGAAACUUAUUCCUCCCCCAAGCCCUUGCUAUCUGUCAAGCAGUGCAGCUAGGGCAGGCUGGUCUUGUGUAAUUGGUAAAAUUCAAUAGUAAUCUUCUCAAAGGUUGAUGUGAUGAGCAGUCAGGGCCUGGAUGUCUUUUCCUGUUUUUGCUAGGCUGACAAACUGAAUAACGUAUCUCAAGACCCCUAGCAUAGUAGUAA